UACGAAGGGGGCUAGCGUUGUUCGGAAUUACUGGGCGUAAAGCGCGCGCAGGCGGUCCUUCAAGUCAGAGGUGAAAGCCCAGAGCUCAACUCUGGAAUGGCCUUUGAGACUAGAGGACUUGGGUACGGGAGAGGUGAGUGGAAUUCCGAGUGUAGAGGUGAAAUUCGUAGAUAUUCGGAAGAACACCAGUGGCGAAGGCGGCUCACUGGACCGGUAUUGACGCUGAGGUGCGAAAGCGUGGGGAGCAAACAGG
rnacentral:rRNA from 1 species